GAGGGUAUAGCUCAGUGGUAGAGCGAGCACCUGGCAUGCAUGAGGACCUGGGUUCAAUCCCCACUACCUCUA
rnacentral:tRNA from 1 species